UACGGGGGGGGCAAGCGUUGUUCGGAAUCACUGGGCGUAAAGGGCGCGUAGGCGGCCGAUCAAGUCAGAGGUGAAAGCCCAAGGCUCAACCUUGGAACUGCCUUUGAUACUGUUUGGCUAGAGACCGGAAGAGGUAAGUGGAACUGCGAGUGUAGAGGUGAAAUUCGUAGAUAUUCGCAAGAACACCAGUGGCGAAGGCGGCUUACUGGUCCGGUUCUGACGCUGAGGCGCGAAAGCGUGGGGAGCAAACAGG
rnacentral:rRNA from 1 species